rnacentral:misc_RNA from 1 species
AAAAUAUAUAAAUUUAAUCAUAUAAUUAAGAACCCAAAUUCAAGUUAAAUUUUAAUUUAGUUUCUUUCGAAAUUAAUUUAUUCGGUUAUACUUUUUUAUUCCAAAUUAUUAUCAAAAUGAACUAAGAUUUAGAAUUGGUAGUGUUAUAAUUAACAUAAAGAAAACAAUAUAAAUCUUGAAGGGUAAUAUUGGCAAUGCAAAUGUCUCCCCUCAAGGGAAAUAACAGGUCAAAGUUCCAGCCAAUAAAGUUCCAUUUUUCUUUUCUGUUCACAUUUGACAGUGAUUGUUGAUUGGGAGCCAUUAAACAUGCAAGAAAGACAUCAAAAUAAAAUUCAAAGGAAU